CCUGGGCACAGUGGCCGAGGAAAAUCCCAGCCCUUGAAGUCAGCACCCAAAUUUCCCCAAAGACUCCAGACGGAUGGCUGAGGGGUCCUGGGCCAGGCCUGUGCAGAAGGGCUGCCCCAGAGGCUGAAACCCAGUGGUACCUGAGGCAUAGAGAGCUUGCAUGACUAACCUGGGGGGAAAACCCACCAGAGUUAUUUCUAUUUAAGCUCAAAGAGAAAUGCAGAAGUAAACCUACUUGAACCUAACUUGACUCUAAAACAAAACCAGUCAGUGCUCCUGGAGUUCUGGUGGGGUGGUGGGAAUCUUCUGUAAAGAGGGAGAGUCAAGCCUAGACUCUAGUCGCCCUCACUGGAGAGCCAUACUCUCCGGCAGGGGUCCAGAUCCGUGGGCUUCGGGUCUUCAGGGGGCCUCAGUGUUAGUGCAAUGGGUUCUGAAUCUAUAAACACACCACUCAAUGUUGUCUUUAGACCAGCAUUUCUUAAUCACACUAAGGUUAUGAACUCUUUGGUAAUCAUAAAAGCUACAGAACUUCCCCCCAAAUUCAUAUAAGCCCCAAAAUUUGAAAAAUUGUCUUAAGUUUCAUGGAACUCCGUAAUCCUACCCACUCCCAGUUGUGCAGCUAACCUCUAUUAAGUAAGAAUCCCUGCUGGGCCUGAAAAAAAUACGCCUUGCAUAACGUGUAGACGAUGUGUACGUAAUUUUUCAAGUGUGUUGAUAGGCUGGAGACCCUGGCGGUGUAGAGUUUAAGAGCUACAGUUGCUAACCAAAAGACAGCAGUUUGAACCCACCAGGCGCUCCUUGGAAACCCUAUGGGGCAGUUCUACCCUGCCCUAUAGGGUCGCUAUGAGUUGGGAUCGACUUGACGGCAACGGGUCAACGGGUUGAUAGAAUUGUGGUAAAUAAGUACAAAUCGUUUGAAAGAAUACAGAAUUCAUAGACUUUUUUGUUGCCGUUACGUAUGUCUCCCUAGAGGGAUAGAAAAUACCUGUAGAGGUCCAAGGAUAGUAUUAAAAGGGGUCUAAAGCGCUCCUUGGAAACUCUAUGGGGCAGUUCUACUCUGUCCCAUAGGGUCGCUAUGAGUCGGAAUCGACUCGACGGCAUUAGUUCUUGUUUUUAAUCUCCCUGGGGUCCUCUAUGCCUGUGGCUCUCUCUUCCAUGCUGGGUGAGGCUGUCUUCCAAGUGCCCGAGGCUGGGCCCUGUCGGCUUCUGCUGCGCAGGGUCCUCAGCCCCGCGGGAGGCCAGCAGGAGGCACAGGGCCGCCUGAGCCACUAACUGCCCCAGUGGACAGCGCCCUGCCCGAGGAUCCGGCCACUAGAGGGAGCGCGACUUCGGAUUGCGACUUCUGACUCUCCGAGGCCCCGCCGGAGCCCCGGCUUUUCGGGGUUUUUUCACGGAAACGCUGCAGCCGCUGCUUGCCUCACGUGUAUUUAAGUUUUAGUCUCUAAUUUUGUCGGGGUUUUCCAGACGCAAAUUCACAAAGCGUUUCCAAAAAGCCAAGAGCGUGUGCUGUAGUGCGAGGCGCACCCAUUGAGGUCGCUCCGGGUAAGCGCCCCUGGGUGGGGCCCGGAGAGGCCCAGGCGUGGUGGCCGGGUCACCCUCGGCGGCAACCCCCGCGGAAUGCCCUGCCCGUGAGCUCCCUCUCCUGGGCGCGCCGGGCCCCACCAGUGUGCAUGGCUCUGCCUGGGGGAAAGUCACCGGCUUCCUGAGCCUGAGGGGCGCGCAGUGCCGGGCCGCCGUGGCCGGGCCGGACACAAGGCUGUGCGCCCCUGGGUAACUUCGGCCCCAUGGCCCGCAGAUGAAUGGGGAGAUAGCGAGGGGAGGGGCGCAUAGCCCAGCCGAUUUGGCCCCCAGCACUGACGUCUCCGGAACGGUACCCUCUGCCCUCUCCUCUCCCCCACCCCAAGAUGCUCUUAACCUGAUAACGACUUGGGCAACCAGACCCAGUUCUAGCGCCCAGGCUGGCUCAGUCCGCGACUCAUCAGACAACAGUAUCUGGCACACAGUAGGACAGAGGAGAACUGCCCCACAGGGCUUCCAAGGAGCAGCUCAUGGAUUCGGACUGCCCACCCUUUGGUUAGCCGUGGAAGUUCUUAACCACUGCGUAAGCAGACAGCAAUACCGAAUGCUUCACCAGUGCCAUUGCUGAAGGUCUUCUCUCUGGAUCUGGGUGAAUCAUAACCUUAUAAAAAGAAGUAAAAUUAAGGUCAGAGGAUCUGUAAUACUUACUAGGUUUUAUAUCCAUGUGAACCAAAGACAUUGAAUGAAUAUACUUCAAGCCUCGACCAACUUGCAAAAGGAGAUCCUUCAGCUCUGCUUCUUUAAAGUAACUCAUGCUUCUGUAGUUUUCACUUAUGGCAUCAGCCAAACUUCCGCCUUACAAAGACAGAAAAGGUUAGCCUUUUCUUCUUUUUGAAAUAUUCUUAUUUUUCUUCCUUCCACCUUUAGCGAAUAACCAUAGAUUCAGCUAAGAAAGUCACAUUUUAUAGGACCUUCCCCCUUCAACCUACUUGUGAAAUCAAAAUUUUAUUUCUUCUUUCACUGGAUUAAUAAACUCAGAUGGUACAAGAUACAAUUUAAAGUCUCUUUCAUUUGUGUAAAAAAGGAGGUGAAAAGAUCUAAGACCACUGACAACACAGGCUUACUCUGGGAAAGAGAACCACAGUAAACCUAUGUUGUCUAUGUCUUAGAUAUUCUUUUCAACUCCGUUUUACACAAAUGAUAGUAUAUUUUCAUUACCUUGUAGAUAAUUCUGUACCAAUAUAUAAAAACUACCCUUCUUUCUUGUGUCUCCAUAGAACUCCACUAUAUAAUUGGAUGAUAACACACAUUAAUCAAUCCCCUAAAGAUGGACAUUUUAAAAUUAUUUUCAAUCGUUUGCUUAGUAUAUAUUAUGGUCUAAUGAAUAACCUUAUACAUUGGUCAUUUCAGACAUUUAGUAUCCGCUAGACAUGGAAGUGCCGGACAAAGGGGCAGGAGUACUUGUAAUAUCUGCAUACGUAUGUGUGUGUACACAUACGCACUGUCUCCCAGAGAAAGCUAUACCAAUUUAUACUUGUACCAUCAGUGUAUGAGAAUACCUGCUUCCCCACCCCCUUGACAACAACCUACAAAUUUUAGAGCUAAAAACUAGUAUCGUAGUAGUUGUAAUUUAUACUACUCUUUUUUUUUU